AUUGAACGCUGGCGGCAGGCUUAACACAUGCAAGUCGAGCGAGCGGCGGACGGGUGAGUAAUGUCUGGGAAACUGCCUUAUGGAGGGGGAUAACUACUGGAAACUGUAGCUAAUACCGCAUACCAUCGGAUGUGCCCAGAUGGGAUUAGCUAGUAGGUGGGGUAAUGGCUCACCUAGGCGACGAUCCCUAGCUGGUCUGAGAGGAUGACCAGCCACACUGGAACUGAGACACGGCCCAGACUCCUACGGGAGGCAGCAGUGGGGAAUAUUGCACAAUGGGCGCAAGCCUGAGGCAGCCAUGCCGCGUGUGUGAAGAAGGCCUUCGGGUUGUAAAGUACUUUCAGUGAGGAGGCGUUAAUCGCAGAAGAAGCACCGGCUAACUCCGUGCCAGCAGCCGCGGUAAUAC
rnacentral:rRNA from 1 species